rnacentral:rRNA from 1 species
AUUGAACGCUGGCGGCAUGCUUUACACAUGCAAGUCGAACGGCAGCGCGGGCUUCGGCCUGGCGGCGAGUGGCGAACGGGUGAGUAAUGCAUCGGAACGUGCCCAGUAGUGGGGGAUAGCCCGUCGAAGGCCGGAUUAAUACCGCAUACGACCUGAGGGUGAAAGCGGGGGACCGAAAGGCCUCGCGCUAUUGGAGCGGCCGAUGUCGGAUUUGCUAGUUGGUGGGGUAAAGGCUUACCAAGGCGACGAUCCGUAGCUGGUCUGAGAGGACGACCAGCCACACUGGGACUGAGACACGGCCCAGACUCCUACGGGAGGCAGCAGUGGGGAAUUUUGGACAAUGGGGGCAAACCUGAUCCAGCCAUGCCGCGUGCGGGAAGAAGGCCUUCGGGUUGUAAACCGCUUUUGUUCGGGAAGAAAUCCUCUGGGCUAAUACCCCGGGGGGAUGACGGUACCGGAAGAAUAAGCACCGGCUAACUACGUG